UUGAACCUGGGAGGCGGAAGUUGCAGUGGCCCGAGAUCGCACCACUGCACUCCAGUCUGGUGGCAGAGUGAGACUCCAUCUAAAAACAUAAAAAAAUAAAUACACAAAUAAAUAAAAAAUAAAAAUAAAUACUGGGCUAGAAGACCCAGGAGACCCGAAGAUUCUCUCAAAACUAAGGAAAAUAAUUUAGGUCACAAAUAUAUUCUCUUCCUCCUUCUCCCCAUUGCCCCCCUUCACCAGUAAUCUUUAUAGACUCAAAUCGAGUUGAUGUUCUAUAAUCAAUUCUAGUCACUUUUGUUUAUAUUUAUUUAUUUUAGAGAUGGGGGUCUCACUAUGUUGCUCAGGCUGGUCUCAAAUUCCUGGGCUUAAGUGAUCCACCCACCUAGGUCUCCCAAAGUGCUGGGAUUACAGGCAUCAGCCACUGCACCCGGCUGUCACUUUUAUUUUUGAUGUUCAAAUUAUAAGCUAAUGCCUGUGAGACCAUAGAUUCUUUUUAUGCACUCAAUACAUUUUCUUGUUUACCUUAUAUUUGUACUGUGGAAAAGUUCUGUUUUUUCCACUUGUUUAUAUUUGAUAAUGAAGCCCUCUGUGCCUAUCACCAGCCUCAGCCGCCAUCAUCUCAUUACCAAGCUGGGUUAUUUUGAAACAAAUAUCUUCUAAUAUUUAGCCGGUGUUCAAAUUUCCCUAACCAUCCUAAAGGAAUGUUUAGAACAGUUGUUUCAUUGGAAACAAGGUCAAAACAAAUACAUUUUACAUUUUUAGGCCAGUCUUGAAAGUAAGUGUAAAACCAUGUGUGGGGUAGGAGGUGGGACUAGACUCUCAAGGUGGGGCCUGGAUACCAGACCCAGUUGAGGACUAGCUAAGACAGAUUCCACAGUGAAUAACACCAGGAGGUGGGAAUAUUAAGGUCCAUUGUGAAGGAUGACUACCACAAUUUUUUGAUCAACUAGUUAUCAACCCUGACUGAAGCUGAGAGAGAUUUGUUUUUGCUUUUUUUUCUUUUUUUUCAGAGACAGGGUCUUGCUACGUUGCCCAGGCUGGACUCAAACUCCUGGGCUCAGGUGAUUCUUCUGCGUUAGCCUCCUGAGUAGCUGAGACUACAGGUGUGUGCCACUGUGCCCAGCAAGAUUUUAAAAAAUACGUAUGCCCGGACACCACUCUAAACCAACUAAAUGAGAAUCAGAUAUCGUGAAGUCACUAAUCAUUUUGCUCCUGGGUCUUUAUGACAGUUUUGCUCCUGGGAAACUCCUGGGAAUGUGGUAGAGAGAGAGAAAGAGAUGGGAAAAUAAGAUUUUAAGAAGUGUUGCUAUGCAUUUUGAAAAUAAUUUUUAUUUGGUGUUUGUCUUGAGGGAAGGCGG
rnacentral:lncRNA from 10 species